UACCAGCACCCCGAGUGGUCGGGACGUUUUAUUGGGCCUAAAGCAUCCGUAGCCGGUUCUACAAGUCUUCCGUUAAAUCCAACUGCUUAACAGGUGGGCUGCGGAAGAUACUAUGGAGCUAGGAGGCGGGAGAGGCAAGCGGUACUCGAUGGGUAGGGGUAAAAUCCGUUGAUCCAUUGAAGACCACCAGUGGCGAAGGCGGCUUGCCAGAACGCGCUCGACGGUGAGGGAUGAAAGCUGGGGGAGCAAACCGG
rnacentral:rRNA from 1 species